rnacentral:rRNA from 1 species
UAAAAGCUUGCUUUUGAAAGUUAGCGGCGGACGGGUGAGUAACACGUGGGCAACCUGCCUGUAAGACUGGGAUAACUUCGGGAAACCGGAGCUAAUACCGGAUAAUGUUUCUCCUUGCAUGAGGAGAAACUGAAAGAUGGUUUACGCUAUCACUUACAGAUGGGCCCGCGGCGCAUUAGCUAGUUGGUGAGGUAACGGCUCACCAAGGCAACGAUGCGUAGCCGACCUGAGAGGGUGAUCGGCCACACUGGGACUGAGACACGGCCCAGACUCCUACGGGAGGCAGCAGUAGGGAAUCUUCCGCAAUGGACGAAAGUCUGACGGAGCAACGCCGCGUGAGUGAUGAAGGUUUUCGGAUCGUAAAACUCUGUUGUUAGGGAAGAACAAGUAUCGGAAGUAACUGCCGGUACCUUGACGGUACCUAACCAGAAAGCCACGGCUAACUACGUGCCAGCAGCCGCGGUAAUACGUAGGUGGCAAGCGUUGUCCGGAAUUAUUGGGCGUAAAGCGCGCGCAGGCGGUCUCUUAAGUCUGAUGUGAAAGCCCCCGGCUCAACCGGGGAGGGUCAUUGGAAACUGGGAGACUUGAGUGCAGAAGAGAAGAGCGGAAUUCCACGUGUAGCGGUGAAAUGCGUAGAGAUGUGGAGGAACACCAGUGGCGAAGGCGGCUCUNUGGUCUGUAACUGACGCUGAGGCGCGAAAGCGUGGGGAGCGAACAGGAUUAGAUACCCUGGUAGUCCACGCCGUAAACGAUGAGUGCUAAGUGUUAGAGGGUUUCCGCCCUUUAGUGCUGCAGCAAACGCAUUAAGCACUCCGCCUGGGGAGUACGGUCGCAAGACUGAAACUCAAAGGAAUUGACGGGGGCCCGCACAAGCGGUGGAGCAUGUGGUUUAAUUCGAAGCAACGCGAAGAACCUUACCAGGUCUUGACAUCCUCUGACAACCCUAGAGAUAGGGCUUUCCCCUUCGGGGGACAGAGUGACAGGUGGUGCAUGGUUGUCGUCAGCUCGUGUCGUGAGAUGUUGGGUUAAGUCCCGCAACGAGCGCAACCCUUGAUCUUAGUUGCCAGCAUUNAGUUGGGCACUCUAAGGUGACUGCCGGUGACAAACCGGAAGGAAGGUGGGGAUGACGUCAAAUCAUCAUGCCCCUUAUGACCUGGGCUACACACGUGCUACAAUGGGCAGAACAAAGGGCAGCGAAGACCGCGAGGCUAAGCCAAUCCCACAAAUCUGUUCUCAGUUCGGAUCGCAGUCUGCAACUCGACUGCGUGAAGCUGGAAUCGCUAGUAAUCGCGGAUCAGCAUGCCGCGGUGAAUACGUUCCCGGGCCUUGUACACACCGCCCGUCACACCACGAGAGUUUGUAACACCCGAAGUCGGUGAGGUAACCUUUGGAGCCAGCCGCCGAAGG